rnacentral:rRNA from 1 species
UACGUAGGGGGCGAGCGUUGUCCGGAAUUAUUGGGUGUAAAGGGCGUGUAGGCGGUGGUGUAGGUUAUCGGUAAAAACCCAAAGCUCAACUUUGGGCUUGCCGAUAAAACCCCAUCACUUGAGUGCAGGAGAGGAAAGUGGAAUUCCCGGAGUAGCGGUGAAAUGCGUAGAUACCGGGAGGAACACCAGUGGCGAAGGCGACUUUCUGGCCUGCUACUGACGCUGAGGCGCGAAAGCUGGGGGAGCGAACGGGAUUAGAUACC